ensembl:lncRNA
GCAAGCAGCAGGCGCACCUCGCAAACGGAGGACGCCCUUACUCCCAGCAAAUGGGCGAUAGAAAACCGAUCGGUGCCUAUGACAUUCCCAAUAUGCGCUGGCAUGAUGUCGGGGCAGCAUGAGUACGAGCAAUUUUUUUUUUUUUUGCCGAUGCCCGUGAUGCCGCCCCCCACCACGAUGCCGCCCCGGGCAACCGCCCGUGUCGCCCGUAUCUAAAACCGCUACUGCAUAAGUCAACCACAGCACAAUGCAAACGCUUUGGAGGGACGUUACCCAAGACUGAGACGCCUCCAUCAACUCUUCAACUGCAACCUUCCGAUUACAAGACAAACUGCCAACUCACGAUUGGCCUAGCACUUGAAGUAUAUGUUUAUUCAAAAAAUGAAAUCACAUGUAACCGAGGACAAGACAGGACUUACAACACAUCCUGCUGAUAUCCCAGCUGCACAUGAGACUUACCACACUAACUGUGCGAAUAUAACACUGCAACCCGUCACACCCCGCUUAGCGACACUGCAAUUGUGACACGCACUGCAAACAAUUCAGGUCUCAGCGCAGCUGGGACUCAGCGCUAUGCAUGGCCUGCGAUCUUGGAGACAGAGGGAGGUGGCACAAACAAUUAAACAAAAAAAGGGAGGUUAGUCCGCCCUUACACAACUCACUCUCAAUCAAUAACCGCCUUUACGGCUGGACGGACUAACCAAAACAAAAUUACAAAUCAAUCAAAAGAACGAAAAAAGGACAGCAGAGACAGCACAGCUGAAAAACAAACAACAUUAUCGAUUAAAAUAUUACCCAAUAAAAUACCAAUUUUAUGAAACCAUUUAAAAUCAUGAAGCUAAAAACAAACACUCAAUA